rnacentral:rRNA from 1 species
UACAGGGGGGCAAGCGUUGUUCGGAAUUACUGGGCGUAAAGGGCCAGUAGGCGGCCAACUAAGUCACACGUGAAAUCCCAGGCUUAACCUGGGAACUGCGUGUGAUACUGGAUGGCUUGAAUUCGGGAGAGGGAUGCAGAAUUCCAGGUGUAGCGGUGAAAUGCGCAGAUAUCAGGAGGAACACCGGUGGCGAAGGCGGAUCUCUGGGCCAUUACUGACGCUGAGGAGCGAAAGCGUGGGAGCGAACAGG